rnacentral:lncRNA from 1 species
UAUGAUAUAUAGCAUGCAUGCAUUUAAAUUUGAAAUUCGAAUUUGAACAUUAAACACUUUACUAUAAUGUGUUCAGAACACAAUACCUUUGUAUGGGUAGUAGAUCACCGUAAUUUGAUCAUCAUCGGAAGAGUCUGAUCAUCGCGAUGCAGCCACACAGUGUGUCUAGCCUCUGUGGAUCGUCCACACGAAGCUCCCGGUC